CGUUAAACGGCCGCGGUAUUCUGACCGUGCAAAGGUAGCAUAAUCAUUUGUUCUCUAAAUAAGGACUUGUAUGAAUGGCCACACGAGGGUUUUACUGUCUCUUACUUCCAAUCAGUGAAAUUGACCUCCCCGUGAAGAGGCGGGGAUAAAUCAACAAGACGAGAAGACCCUAUGGAGCUUUAACUAAGUAACUCAAGGAAAAUAAAUUUAACCACCAAGGGAUAACAACACUCCUCAUGAGUUAACAGUUUCGGUUGGGGUGACCUCGGAGAACAGAAAAUCCUCCGAGCGAUUUUAAAGACUAGACUAACAAGUCAAACCAAUUCAUCGCUUAUUGAUCCAAAAACUUGAUCAACGGAACAAGUUACCCUAGGGAUAACAGCGCAAUCCUAUUCAAGAGUCCAUAUCGACAAUAGGGUUUACGACCUCGAUGUUGGAUCAGGACACCCCGAUGGUGCAACCGCUAUCAAAGGUUCGUUUGUUCAACGAUUAAAGUCCUACGUGAUCUGAGU
rnacentral:rRNA from 1 species